rnacentral:rRNA from 1 species
GACGAACGCUGGCGGCGUGCUUAACACAUGCAAGUCGAACGGAAAGGCCCUGCUUUUGUGGGGUGCUCGAGUGGCGAACGGGUGAGUAACACGUGAGUAACCUGCCCUUGACUUUGGGAUAACUUCAGGAAACUGGGGCUAAUACCGGAUAGGAGCUCCUGCUGCGUGGUGGGGGUUGGAAAGUUUCGGCGGUUGGGGAUGGACUCGCGGCUUAUGAGCUUGUUGGUUGGGUAGUGGCUUACCAAGGCUUUGACGGGUAGCCGGCCCGAGAGGGUGACCGGCCACAAUAGGACUGAGGGACGGCCCAGACUCCUACGGGAGGCAGCAGUGGGGAAUAUUGCACAGUGGGCGGAAGCCUGAUGCAGCAACGCCGCGUGCGGGAUGACGGCCUUCGGGUUGUAAACCGCUGUCGGCUGUGACGAAGCGUGAGUGACGGUAACGGGUAAAGAAGCACCGGCUAACUACGUG